rnacentral:lncRNA from 1 species
UAAGAUAAUCUCAAGUUGACGGCAACAAAGUUUGUAUUUAAUCACGCGUCGAAUUUGUGACGAUGUGAUCCAUUCGAAGUAAACAUCGAGGAUAAGAGGUCGGAGCGGAUCAGUUUGCCGAGAAGAGUCGGAGGCAACAGUUUGAUUUUGAAAUUGCGUGAAGAAAUCUCUGCGAAGUGUGAAAGAAAUGAAUCCUGAUCAGUAUAUUCGGAAGCAAAGUUACAUUUUGCUGGAAUCGAAUGCAAUACGAUCGAAGCAACACUAAGACACACUUGGAAAACCUGAAAAACCUGAAAAACCUGAAAAACCUGGAAAACUUGACAAACCUGAAAAACCUGGAAAACCUGGAAAACCUGGAAUUGGAAAAAAACUGAAAAUAUCAGUUUCCUAUCAUGGGAAUUGGAAACGAUUUUUCGAGAUUGCAAGAUUGAAAAAAAAGAGAAGGAAUGAAGUGUGAAAUCGUACCGCAGCGUUCCCGUGGCACACUCUGGAGUCGUGGUUAUAUUUAUCACCAGCUCAGAACGGAGGUGACAGUCAUAGUGAAAUACUGUAAGUCAAUCGAUACCAUCAUAUUUAAUCCAGCAUUUCCUAUUUUUGAAUUUGAACUUAAAAAUUGAUACAAACUCAACUCCCUUUUCUACGUUGCAAUGAAAAGGAGGGUUAUACUGAGUAAGGCAACUCAACAUUCAAUGAGAGUAAGUGAGUUGCGUAGGGAAUAAACAAUCAAUUUUAUUUUGAAGUGCAAAGCAAAUGGCUAGAUUAUCGGUUGGCGACAUCCUCGCCCCUCGGUACAGGACGCGCGUUAGUUAUAUAAAAAAUGAAAAAUGUAUUACGUUUUUGUGAAAUAAUUACACUCGGGACUUUUACUGUAGGAUAUAGCUUUAUUUCACAGAUGAGUCACUGAGUCACACACACACAAAAACUGACUUUCAGGUCGUGUUUCAUGCAAAACUAAAAAUAUAGUGCCUUUUUCGUAAUAAUCAAAUGCUCAUGAAUUUUUUGAGAAAAAGAUGAUGAACCAUAAACGUUAGCUCUUUUGGUCUGCGCCGAAGCAAACUUGGUUAUUAUAUUUUCGAAUGGGAUGGAACGAAGCAAAUCUGCAUUGGCCACGAAGGAAGUUAGAGGAGUAAGUCCUUGAUCAGCAAGAGAGUUCCUUAAAAGACUGAUGACUCUCUUCAGAACUGAAAAGGAGCGUUCACCGCUAGCAUUUUUAGGUAAAAUACAUAUAAAUACGAGUAUUCUAAGCAGCGUGUUCACGCGUUUGACGAUCAAUACAGUUCAAAAUAUAGCUCAGCUUGAUAAGUUUCAGUGCGUAGAACCAGAGUGCAGGCGGUUGCCACUUGAUGUCCUGAUAACCGUGAGCGCGCAAAUUUCGGUAAAUAAGUUUCGGUCCUGAGUGACUACUAAAAAAUUAAAAAUUUCAUUUCAACAAUAUAAAAAUUCUAGUGAUCUUCCUUCUUUCAUCUAAAUUCAGGAACCACUAUCAAUUUAAUCUAAUUUUGAUCGGGACGGAUCUAAGCAAAUCCUCAUCCAAGGUUCUUGAAUGAAAAGUGUUCGAAAAUUCUCCGGAGACGACACUAAGUAUCGGAUUAUUCGCAAAACUUUCCUACAAUCACGGAUCAUGCCACCGUAACGCUCAUUCAAACCCACAUUUAACGUGUUAACAACUUUCUCAUCAAGUAAUGAACGCAAAUUAUCCGCACAGGAAACUCUAUACUCGAUGUACGAGCGUAUAUACGAGCGUAGCUUUGCGCAUAUUUCAUAAACCGCCUUAUCCUCAAUUGGUAUCCCUGUAUUGGGUCCACUCUCCAUUACGGGCUCGCCUCUUAGAGCCACUAGCCAAUUCUUCGACUCGUUCACCAAGCCACUCAGGGGGCAUCAGCUGGACGAGUCACAUGAUGUGCUCGGUUGGGGUCGCGUUGCACGCUUAGGUGGGGGGUGUGCUUUCCACAAUUCUCUGGAUUGGUUCGAGUGUUCUUUCGCUUACUGUUAAUUCUGUCCCUCCUACGAUGAUUCGACUAAAAUAAGAGAGCUCUCUUAGGUAGCGAUAAUUCUACUAGAACUUAAGGUUGACCUUUGGAGACCCUCAUCUUUGUGUAAUUGGGUCUGAUGUUACUUCGGUCAAUGAACUCAAUUGCACUAUCCGUAUUGCUCGGGCUUUUUCCUCUACUCCGGAAGGGUUUUUACGCCCGAGCAUGUUGCAAUUCACUAAAUUACCUGCGGAACGACUGCGUUAUUAAUUAAAACCCCGACUAUCAAAUCCUCCUCGAAUUAUCCCUUUAUGACACAAAUCACAGUUGUGACACAGUAUUCAAAUUUGGGUAGAAUCCGAUGAGCCCUUUAUUGCGAAUAAUUUUCAAGAGAUCUCCAGAUAAAUUUGUCUCCGAUGAGAACUCUUUCAGAAAAUUCUGAAAAUGUGCAAAUUCAUCUAUUAAUCCCUCCUCGAGAUCAUCAGAAUAUAUUUUAAUAAUUUCAAUAGCCUACAUUCUGAUGCUACUAACUGAAAGCGAGGACAAUUUACGUGAGAAAUCCAAAUCUCGAGUCGAUCUCAGAAUAGGUAACAAUCCUGCGCGAUAGUUUUGCGAACAAUUUGUCGAUUACGAGCAAAUAGGUAUUGAUUCCCAUGUUACUGCGAGCAUUAAAUGUUGUUUCGUUUGCUCCACUCUCGUCACACCUGAGCUUUCGUCUCUUAGAUCUAUCAAUUUGACCCUGAAUACUCGUCAGAUCCAGAUAACUUUUUGCCUUGUGCUUCGUUGUGAUCGUAUAGCUCUCGAAGCCUUCGAUAUAAUUUUUGAGGGUAUUGUAAUAACGCUCAAUGUCAUCUAAAUUAGCGGAGACCCGCUGCAGUGAUUUAUUCACUCAUUCGACGCUUGCCAAGAUGUUUGCCCAAAACUUCACGAGAAGUCUCUAGAAGUUGAAAUUGGUGACUCAAGCCCUCAGCCUCAGCUCGGAUCUCUGGCUUCUCAUAGCAAUCAUUUAAUAUUUUGUUAAUAGCUGAAUGAAAUGCAUCGUACAUCUCUUUUAACACGAAUCUUGAUCACGCUGACCAUUCGACGCAAAACUCGAUGCAAGUAGUCACUUCUUUUGCAUAUUGCUCGUGAACCUUCGUGUCUAUUUUACCUAAAACACUUGCUCGCUUUAUCAUAGCUGUUAGAUUAGCUCGGUACUCUCGGCUUUUUUCACGUUCCGCAAUGCGAUUUUCGUGUUUCCAAUCAUUGAAACCCGUUGAAAAAACAUUCGGAUGCAGGUUACUAGAAAAAAGUUUGCGUGAAAUGCUGAAAAAUUUUCCUUUCGACUAAGAGUAUCUAAGCCAUACCGUCUUAUUAGUCUGGCUACUUUUAAUUUUAGUGAAAAACAUAGACUUUCAUGCUGACCAUGUUUGGAUAUCAUGAACGCGAUUGGAUUUCGCAAAAUUGGUAUCAUCCAAGCUGCUCAAGGGUGUUAUAUAUUUCUAAUAUCCUUGUUAUAUAUUUCUAAUAUCCAAUAUCCUUGGUCUCCUCAGUCAACAGGGGCCACUUGGCGGGAUCUGAAAGGUCGAUCUCGGGGACAUCAUCGACUUUGCACUCUGAAAAUUUUGCAUGAUGCUUUUCAAAAGCAGGAAAAUCAGCAUUAUGUCGGUAAUUGUACCCGAAUCGAAUUUCUCAUCGUCAGGAUUAGCGGCAAGUGUAACAUUGGAUUUGACUCGUUUUCUUUCUCGAGCUCGGGCGAAGCAACGCCCCCAACUUGGAGGAGUCCCUGGGCUAUAGCCCUGCUAGCCCAUGCCUACAGAUGGCACUGCAGCCCUUGGACGUUGCUGUUGAGCUCGGUCUUCUUGCGGUGAUCGGGAGCCGCGCAUGGAAGGUUCUCAACAACGUUCCACCACGUGUUAAGGAAGUUUUGCGCGUCGCCGAGGUUUAAGUCCCUCCUAGGUUCGGCCGCGUUCCUCGUCCAGACGUGGCCGAGGUACGUACUUCACGCGUAGAUGGCCAGCUUUUAACUGGACUCACGGUCCGAUGAAACUGACCAGUAGGUUUCACAUUCUCAAGAUAUCUCGCUUCAGUCGCUUUGCGACGCUCUGCUCACAAGCUGUUGAUCCCGUGAGACGGAUGCACAGUGGUUCCAAAUCCCGAAUCGCUGGCCAAAUAUAGAAGGUAUUAUCGAGGCGCUAUCAGAUUUAUUACUCGGGGGUUUUUGGGGUCGCUGAACACCAUUCUGAAAUCAAAUUUCCAAAAAACAAAAUCGUGGCCCGAAAAUGGCGGAUAAUUUUAUUUAAACUUGAAUCAAUCUCUAUGGAAUUAGGUACCAAGGGGUUUUGAAUAGAAAUAAUUUAUUAUUACGUACAUGUG